rnacentral:rRNA from 1 species
CCUACGGGUGGCAGCAGUAGGGAAUAUUCCACAAUGAGCGAAAGCUGGAUGGAGCGACACAGCGGGCACGAUGAAGGUCUUCGGAUUGUAACGUGCUGUGAUAAGGGAAGAACAUUUGCAAUAGGAAAUGAUUGCAGACUGACGGUACCUUGUCAGAAAGCGAUGGCUAACUAUGUGCCAGCAGCCGCGGUAAAACAUAGGUAGCAAGCGUUAUCCGGAAUUAUUGGGCGGAAAGCGUUCGUAGGCGGUUUGUUAAGUCUGGGGUAAAAUGCCGGGGCUAAACCCGGGCUCGCCUUUGAUACUGGGGAUCUUGAGUGGGAGAGAAGUAUGCGGAAUGCGAGGUGUAGCGGUGAAAUGCAUAGAUAUCAGGAAGAACUCCGAUUGCGAAGGCAGCAUACCGGGGCUCGACUGACGCUGAGGGACGAAAGCGUGGGGAGCGAACAGGAUUAGAUACCCUGGUAGUC